rnacentral:sRNA from 1 species
CCUGGAUGUUGGCUAAUUACCACUAAUAAAAUGAAUGGAAUGUUCAAGAUUCAUCUUUUCAAAACACCUAAGAAAAUAAAAAAAUAAUUAUCAGAACUUCAAAUCAGAAGUUAACAAUCGACCUAAUGAAAGUGAAGAGAGAAAAGGACUCUAUGAAAAUGAAAUGUCCACAUGAUAAAUUAUCAAGAACCGGUUGCUAAUUACCACUACUAAAAUUCAACGAACUUUCAAACAAAGAAUCAAAUCCCGACCCCACAUGUCCCAUAUUCAUUGUGCACUAUGUUAUAACACAAAUCCAAUCACCACUGCAAAUAUAUCACAAUUCAAUCCAUGUGUACGGUGAAGAAGUCCGAGACAUUAAAUAAUAGAAGAAAAUCAUCAUCCAAAAAAUUAGGUUAGAUUAUCCUACACCAUUCUAACCUCUUUUCAACAAUUUUA